UAGGGAAUCUUCGGCAAUGGACGAAAGUCUGACCGAGCAACGCCGCGUGAGUGAAGAAGGUUUUCGGAUCGUAAAACUCUGUUGUUAGAGAAGAACAAGGACGUUAGUAACUGAACGUCCCCUGACGGUAUCUAACCAGAAAGCCACGGCUAACUACGUGCCAGCAGCCGCGGUAAUACGUAGGUGGCAAGCGUUGUCCGGAUUUAUUGGGCGUAAAGCGAGCGCAGGCGGUUUCUUAAGUCUGAUGUGAAAGCCCCCGGCUCAACCGGGGAGGGUCAUUUGAAACUGGGAGACUAGAGUGCAGAAGAGGAGAGUGGAAUUCCAUGUGUAGCGGUGAAAUGCGUAGAUAUAUGGAGGAACACCAGUGGCGAAGGCGGCUCUCUGGUCUGUAACUGACGCUGAGGCUCGAAAGCGUGGGGAGCAAACAGG
rnacentral:rRNA from 1 species